GAUGAACGCUGGCGGCGUGCCUAAUACAUGCAAGUCGAGCGAACGGACGAGGAGCUUGCUCCUCUGACGUUAGCGGCGGACGGGUGAGUAACACGUGGAUAACCUACCUAUAAGACUGGGAUAACUUCGGGAAACCGGAGCUAAUACCGGAUAAUAUUUUGAACCGCAUGGUUCAAUAGUGAAAGACGGUUUUGCUGUCACUUAUAGAUGGAUCCGCGCCGCAUUAGCUAGUUGGUAAGGUAACGGCUUACCAAGGCAACGAUGCGUAGCCGACCUGAGAGGGUGAUCGGCCACACUGGAACUGAGACACGGUCCAGACUCCUACGGGAGGCAGCAGUAGGGAAUCUUCCGCAAUGGGCGAAAGCCUGACGGAGCAACGCCGCGUGAGUGAUGAAGGUCUUCGGAUCGUAAAACUCUGUUAUUAGGGAAGAACAUAUGUGUAAGUAACUAUGCACGUCUUGACGGUACCUAAUCAGAAAGCCACGGCUAACUACGUG
rnacentral:rRNA from 1 species